AGGAGAAGGAAAAAUAAGGAGUGAGAGGCAAUGGCAUGGAACUUGGCUCUGAAGCUGCCAGCAGAGCACUGACCUGAGCACCCAGCACCCUGAUGCUGUAGGGUGCUGUGCUCUCCUGAGGCUGUGCUUCAGCUCCACAAAAAUGUGUGCUCUUGCUCCUCUGAGGCACCAGCCAGACCCUAAAGACCAUUACCACAUGCCAAAGGAGUGCCCUAAGGAGUCAGCACAGCCACUGAGGCAGCCAUAGAGUAAGCUGCAAGGGGCAGUGCUGCACAAGGUCAGAAACAGGAGUAUCAGAGAAAAGGAAAUAAUUCCCAGUGAAUACAGACUGAAAAGCAGACUAGUAUUGAGCACAAACUUUUCUCAGAGCAAGUGUUCGGAGGAGUUAGCCCAGAGCACCAUGUCUGGCUGGCUUUCCAGAGGGCUAAUAGCCAGAGGGCUAACUUACAGAAGCUGAAUGCACUGAAUUCCCCCUUCUCCUCCUGCCCUCUGCCUAUGUAACUGGUGCCCAGAGCAAGCGUUUUUGUCUUGUACUGCUUCCUCUUGACAGUGCUGCUUGCUGCCCAAAAGCACAAGUGACCUGUGAAGGAGCCUUUGCUUUCCUGCAGGGCUUCUGCACAGUGAGAGCCCUCCUUCGGAGAGCAAAGGGGGCACUUCUCCCUUUGCAGAGCCAUGGUUACAACUAGCACAGGUUUUAGCAACCCUUAUGAGUUCAUAACUGCAGGACAGAUCCCUCCUUUUCAGAGAACAGAAACUAAGCAUUUUGAUCUAAGUAGGCCAUCAUCUAUUUGUUUGAGAUCAGCAAGAAGAAAAGACAUCCAAGAGCUGCAGAAAACACCCCAGUGGAAGUCAUACACCAUUUGCUAUCCCAUCUCCCUCCUGCAGGGUCUGCUAUAGCAUCCUGUAUCCUGCUGCUGAGAAGACCAGCCAUCCAUAUGGAAUCAAACCCUGCCUUCAGAGGUGGGCAGAGGGGAGAACUAAAGCUUCCUGAGAUCGUGUAGCUUCCAGCCCUCCAGCUCCAUCUUGUCAGGAUGGGUAUGCAGUGAAGCAGGGGGAUCAAUAAGCCUUGGAAUUUUUAUCUUAGCUAGCACUACUGCAGAUGCCAGUGUUAUAAAUGCUACAUUGGACAAAGGAUCCACUCUCGGGACUGAAGAUCUUUUUUGUCUAACUUGUUUUCAGAUUCUUAUAUUAACUCUUUUGAUACAGAGUCCCCACCCUCUGUUCAGAUGAGAGCACCUCAGGCGAGGAGCUGGAGGAGUCUGCUCUGGAGCUGCUGUGGAAAUCCUCAAAGAGCACAUACACCACAUCUCACUGCCUUUUUAGACCAGCAGCCAUCACUAUUGAUCUUCCAGUUUUAAGGCUGAACAACCCCAGCCCUCUAAGCCUGUCUUCGAGAUGUGCUGCCAUUGAAGUCAAAAGGAUUACAGAAGAUCCAAGGGAAGCCACAGGCUGGUGUAAAGGAGCACACACUCUGGUGACACAAAACGAGCAGCAUAGCAUCAUCCUUCCUGGGCUGAAAAAUCUGUGAAAAUGGAACCCAGCCCUCCUCCAUGAAGUGGCACCAUGAUUUGAGUCCAAGAACACCUCCUCCUAGGUCUCUGCCUAGCCUCUACAGUUCCUAGGAUUAGUUGCCUUGAAGCAUCCCUUCUGAGGUGAGGCUGACUGGCCUAUAGCUCUGUGGACUUCCCUCCUUGCCUAUAGAUAUGAAUAUUAAGUGGUGGUCAAACACUGGAAUAGAUUACACAGAGAGGUUGUGCAUUCUCCACCAGUGAAGACAUUCAAAACCCAUCUGGAUAUGGUACUGGGUGACCGGCUCCAGCUGACCCUGCUUGAGCAGUGGAUUGGAUGAGAUAUAUCCAAUGGUCACUUCCAGGCUCAUUGAUUCUGUGAUUUAGCCUAAACAACCCCUUUAGUUAGUUGCAGUACAAAUCUUGACUAUAAGUCUUAUGUAACAUGAAGUAUAGAUGUACUUCAUUAAUAUUUUAGCAAUUGCAUUCCUUAUGUAAAUAUGAAACAGAAACCCGAUGAUUUGUUAUUGCAUAAUCAUGGGGCAUAAACACAAUGAAUUAAGCCUGAAAGAAUGGGCAUUAAAAACAUACAGUGUUUUCUCAGCUACCUUUCUGGAUUCGUGACAUUAUCCAGUGCACAUCUUUACUUGGCCUUUACUUCAACGAGAUUCCAGCUAUGAAAGACAUAAUAAGACCCAAAAGAAAUAUGUCAAAAAGCAAAAGACAUCAAUACCACUAUAUCUGCUACAUGAUGCAGGUACAACUGGAUGGUACCUUCACAUCAGCAGCUUAUUACUUGUGAACUGUUCUCAGAGGCAUCUGAAGAGGUGUACAAAGAGCUCAUCUACUUCAGAAAGGCAACCCGAAAAUACCAAGGGGCUUGCUUGAAAAUUUAGCAGCUAGUGUUCCAACAUCCUGGUGAUGAAUGAAGGAUGAGGAGAAGAAUGGAAAAGAUUUCCUUUACACGAGAAGUUGAAGCAGCUUGUAUUUGAUCCAUUAGAAAAAGGAGACUAAAAAAAUUUGAAUUCGCAGCAUAUGCAUUAAAAGGCAUUUAGUUUGUUGCUGAUUCAGGUAAUGGGGCCAUAGUGUGAACUAUUAUUAUAUCACAGCUCAGCACUGCUUCCUGCAGCAAGACAUGGUCCAAAAGUCAAGCUCUUCUGUCCUGUGAGCAAAAGACAUCAUAGGUGAUUGAAGCAGAUCCUUUCUGAGGCAUUUGUGCCCCUCUGUUGCAACAACCUAUUGCUUUUCACAGUGAUGCACCCUGUUUCUAAAAGGACCAACUUCUCCUCCUAUCUUCGUCAGCUAAAAUGCAUCUGUGAUGUAGGUAUUAAUAAACAUCCUCAUUCACUCCUGUCUCUGUGAUCCCAACUUCCCCAAUUUGCAUCUGUUCUUUGCUUGUUGACUCUUUACACACUGCUAAAUGGGACAGCAGCUUUUUAAAGCAGCUGCCUUUGUUUAUCUGAUAGUGUACUACUUAGUACCAGGAGAUUUAAUCUCUUUUUUGAACCUUUAAUCACAAUAUAGCAAAAUAAAGCAAUAAUGUACUUUAUUUUCUAUCACUGCCAACAGCAUUGUUUUAAAAAAGGCUCCUUUUAAUAACAUGUACUUUCCUGUAGUGUGGCUCUUAUGAAAUAUGUCCUUGUCAUUUUUCUGGAACUGCUCAGCAGGAGAUGCCAGACAAGUUAAUUAUUAUCAUUUAUUUGUUCAGGAAAGAUCACAGAGGUUGUCUGCAGCAGAAAGCACACACUCCUUGUUGCGAAAAAGCAAAUGCUGGAUGAAGGGGAAGCUACAUGCUCAUGUUGCUGUGAUGCUUCUGCCUGCAAGUUAGAACCACCACUCUUAGAAGUCAGCAAAAAAUUUAGUCACAUUGCUUUGUUCUGUCCUUCCCCACUCUGGUGCUAAUUUUGGACAGCCACUGAAUUUGCAUUCUGAUCUUUAAUUCAGCAGGGGUAGGACAGUCUAUCAAACAAACCCACAUAAG